rnacentral:rRNA from 1 species
AGCCUAGCGCUAAGGCUUAAUGUGGCUGUCGCAAGGCAGUCAAGCAAGAUAACAUUGAGCGGUGCAGCGUUAUAAACUCUGGUGUUUGUAGUAUCAAUGUGGCAUGACAGGCAACUGUUAUGUUACUUUCGGCCUAGCGUACAAGUCCCAUUGACUUGGGCUUAUUCUUAAUUGAGAUGUCUACGUGUUUGGGGCAACCUGGAUGCGUGGAUGAGCCAUAGAGGGUGAAAGUCCCUUAAUGCGCUGGUAUUGAUGCUACUAAUCAGAGCAGUGAUGUCUGUUGAAACACACAGACAUUGCGAUUUAUUAGAGUCGGGUUGCUUGAGAGUGCAACCUAAAGAGCGAGGUAAACUGCUCGUAAGGCUAUGUAAAUAUGGCUACGACACCGAUAGCAAACAAGUACCGUGAGGGAAAGUUGCAAAGUACUUUGAAGAGAGAGUUAAACAGGGCGUGAAACCGCUAGCUGGUAAACGAGUGGAGCCACGAAGUCGUUUCGUAGAAUACGGGAUGCAAAUUCAGCUAUGAUCAUAGUUAAUAACUAUGGUUGAAGUGUAUUUUUGCUUAUUCCGCUACUGUAAGCGUACACUGCAACCAAUUAGACGGCCAAAUGUGGAAAUAGUUUGCAAGUUUAAUAAGGAAACUUGUUGCUUGUAAGCGCAAAAAUUUAUGUAUCUACUAUAGGUAGCUUGGUUAGAGUCUUGUUAUUCUAUCCGGGUGUAUGAUAUUUUUUGUAGAUACGUGAACUACAUUUGGGUACUGAUUGGCAAAAUGAAAAUCGAAACGCAAGAUUCGUUUAUUCAUAGAAAGCGUCUAGCAUUGUGUCGCAGGUACAAUUGCGCGUCGCCUAGUAUAAGCUUGAUAGUUUUGAAUUCAGGCACGCAUAUUGUGAUUGGGCUUGUCUCGUUCAUAUAUGCGCUGUUUCCUGUCUAAUCGGGUAUUAACUUUACUGGCGGUCCGAUGUAAUUGCUAUGAUAGCCUGUAUACGAUAGUUGGUCUGCAAGAAUUAGCAGUGAGUAGGUCGGCUUUCCACACGACCCGUCUUGAAACACGGACCAAGGAGUCUAGUUAAGUAUCGAGUCGAUCGGUCUUGAUUAGGCCAGACUCUGGAAAUUCUUAAUUCGGAUAUGUUCCAGUAUUAACAAAUGAUGGCAAAGUGAAAUCAAAUUAUAUGUGAUCUGAGGUCUAUAAAAAUGGCCUACAGCGCAACAUAUGCCUACUCGUAUGGUUAUACGCGCAAGUGUUAACCGGGUGGAGCAAAGAGAUACUUGACUGGUACCCGAAAGAUGGUGAACUAUUCCUGGCCAAAUUGAAGCCAGAGGAAACUCUGGUGGAGGAUUGUAGCGAUUCUGACGUGCAAAUCGAUCGUCAGAGCUGGGUAUAGGGGCGAAAGACUAAUCGAACCAUCUAGUAGCUGGUUCCCUCCGAAGUUUCCCUCAGGAUAGCAAGCUCUCGCAGAAAAUAGUGAAUCAGUUUCAUCUGGUAAAGCGAAUGAUUAGAGGCCUUGGGAGCGAAACGCUCUCAACCUAUUCUCAAACUUUAAAUGGGUGAGAUGUACGACGUACUUAAUUGACGCCGUAUUCACAAGAAUGUAUUGAGAGCUUAGUGGGCCAUUUUUGGUAAGCAGAACUGGCGAUGCGGGAUGAACCGAAAGUGAAGUUAAGGUUGCCGAUAAUGGUGCUAACAAAUUGUGCACUAGCUACACUCAUGAGAUCCCAUGAAAGGUGUAAGUUGCUAAAGACAGCAAGGACGUGGCCAUGGAAGUCGGAAUCAUCUAAGGAGUGUGUAACAACUCACUUGCCGAAGCAACUUGCCCUGAAAAUGGAAGCAGCUCGAGUGUUGAACCUAUACUUCACCGUUGAAUCAUUGUUCGUAUUGAAUGCGAUUAGUUACGAUUCAACGUGUAGGAGGGUUGUGUUGGUAGCGUUGAAGGCUAUGAGGGAGUGAUCCUGGCUGGAGCUGCCAAUAGUACAGAUCUUGGUGGUAGUAGCAAAUACUCAAGUGAGACCCUUGAGGGCCAAUGUGGAGAAGGGUUCCAUGCUAACAGCAAUUGGACAUGGGUCAGUCGGUCCUAAGAGAAUGGCGAAAGCUGUUUCUGAAUCAAAGACAGUGUAAAACAAUGAAGAAAAAAAAGCAAAUAUUUCAGCCUAUGCGCAACACGUGACCAAUAGACAAGAUGUGUAAAAACGAUUGUUUAGUGUUAGUGUGUUUGUGUAUUUGAUGGAUUUGUUUUAAAAUAUUAUAAAAGCAGCACUGUAUGACUCGAAAGGGAAUCAGGUUAAUAUUCCUGAACCAAGAUGAGGAGAUUGCUUGUUGUGCGAUUUUUAGGAAUUGUUCAAUAGGUAUCGGCGGUAACGCAAACAAGCACGAUGACGCCGGCGGCAGUCCUGGGAAGAGUUGUCUUUUCUUUGUAAGCUUACUAUGUUUUUGAACGAGACCUUGGAAUCGAAUCAUUCGAAGAUAAGGUCGUAGUAAGCGUAAAGCAGUGCGGUUCUAGUACUGU